rnacentral:rRNA from 1 species
AUGGAGUCGUCGAGGUCGCGGAAGCGCACGCGUCAAGAGUUGGACAGCACCGGCGACCCGCCGCCGGAGCGGGAGGUGGUAGCAAGGGGUGGCGCGUCGCCGCCUUGGCGGGAUGACGACCGCGACGGCCAUUACGUGUUUGAUCUCGGCGAGAACUUGACCCGUCGGUAUAAAAUCUUGAGCAAAAUGGGUGAAGGUACUUUUGGCCGAGUUUUGGAAUGCUGGGACCGUGAAACACGUGAAUAUGUUGCAAUAAAAGUUGUCCGAAGCAUCCGGAAGUACCGGGAUGCUGCAAUGAUUGAGAUCGAUGUGCUCAAUCGCCUUGCAGAAAAUGAGAGAUACAGAUCCCUCUGUGUCCAAAUUCAAAGAUGGUUUGACUAUCGCAACCAUAUAUGCAUUGUAUUUGAGAAGCUUGGGCCAAGCUUGUAUGAUUUUCUAAAGAGAAAUAGAUACCAACCUUUCCCUGUGGAACUUGUGCGGGAGUUUGGACGACAACUGUUGGAAUCUGUAGCAUAUAUGCAUGAAUUACGCCUUAUUCACACUGAUCUGAAGCCAGAAAACAUACUCCUUGUAUCUUCCGAAUAUAUAAAGGUUCCAAGUUCCAAGAAGAAUUCACAAGAUGAGAUACACUUCAAGUGCUUGCCAAAGUCCAGUGCCAUAAAGCUGAUAGAUUUUGGUAGUACUGCCUUUGAUAAUCAGGAACAUAACUCGAUUGUUUCUACGAGGCAUUACAGGGCACCUGAAAUAAUCUUAGGCUUAGGCUGGAGUUUGCCAUGUGAUAUUUGGAGUGUUGGUUGCAUCCUCGUUGAGCUAUGCUCGGGGGAGGCAUUAUUUCAGACACAUGAGAACCUGGAACACCUAGCAAUGAUGGAGAGGGUUUUGGGACCCGUACCAGAGCACAUGAUACGGAAGGCUAGUUCAUCAGCUCAGAAAUAUUUUAGGCGAGGGACACGUCUAAAUUGGCCUGAAGGUGCUGUUACAAGAGAAAGCAUCAGAGCAGUCAGAAAACUACACCGGCUAAAGGACUUGGUCGCGAGAAAUGCUGACCAUUCAAAGGCAUCGCUGGCAGACUUGCUAUAUGGUCUUUUAAGGUUUGAGCCUUCAGAGCGCCUUACUGCCCAAGAAGCUCUAGAUCAUCCAUUCUUCCGAAUUCCAGGUCCAACAUGA